rnacentral:rRNA from 1 species
UACGUAGGGUGCGAGCGUUAAUCGGAAUUACUGGGCGUAAAGCGUGCGUAGGCGGUUGGCAAAGUCAGCUGUGAAAGCCCCGGGCUUAACCUGGGAAUGGCGGUUGAAACUAGUCGACUAGAAUCUGGCAGAGGGGGGUGGAAUUCAACGUGUAGCAGUGAAAUGCGUAGAGAUGUGGAGGAACACCGAUGGCGAAGGCAGCCCCCUGGGCUGAGAUUGACGCUCAGGCACGAAAGCGUGGGGAGCAAACAGG